rnacentral:rRNA from 1 species
UGAGGAAUAUUGGACAAUGGGAGCAAUCCUGAUCCAGCCAUGCCGCGUGCGGGAAGAAGGCCCUACGGGUCGUAAACCGCUUUUAUACGGGAAGAACCGCAGCUACGUGUAGCUGUUUGACGGUACCGUAAGAAUAAGGACCGGCUAACUCCGUGCCAGCAGCCGCGGUAAUACGGAGGGUCCGAGCGUUAUCCGGAAUUAUUGGGUUUAAAGGGUCCGUAGGCGGGCCGAUAAGUCAGGGGUGAAAGUCUGCGGCUCAACCGUAGAAAUGCCCUUGAUACUGUCGGUCUUGAGUUAUGGUGAAGUGGGCGGAAUAUGUAGUGUAGCGGUGAAAUGCAUAGAUAUUACAUAGAACACCGAUUGCGAAGGCAGCUUACUAACCAUAUACUGACGCUGAUGGACGAAAGCGUGGGGAGCGAACA